rnacentral:lncRNA from 1 species
UUUUUUUUCCUUUCUCUCUCUCUCUCUCUCUCUGAAAUCGCGAUAUGCGAAAAUGAAGAAAGCGGUGGUGAAUUGCGAAUUCCGACUGGAAUCGGAGGAUUCUCCGACGCGAAUGACCGCCGGCCGUCGUUCUUCCAGUAGACCAUCUUCUCCACCGUCUCCGGUUGUCCACGGCGUCUUCAAUUCACCAAAGCAGCGAGGUUGAGUUGCGAAAUCGGAGAGAAGUUCACCGGAUCUCCCAGUUUCGAGUCGAAAUCGGAUCCUUACCUUCAAUUAUCGGCUUUUCAAGGUAUGCAUGUGUAUCUCAUUGUGUGAUUCGAUGGCAUUUACAAAUUUUAAAUUAGGGUUCUUCGGUUUUGAGAAAUUAGGGUUUCGUGAUUUGGGGAUUUGGGGUUAUUCGUUGUUAGGUGUUUAAUUUGGCUAAUUAUAAGCGGAUUUGAGUGUGUGUCUGUAUUGUUUUAGUAAUUUCUGAUUAGGGUUCUUCGGAUUUCUGAAAUUAGAGUUUCUGGAUUUGGGGAAAAGGUGUUAUUCGUUAUUAAGUGUUUAAUUUGGGUAAUUAGAAGCAUGAUUGAGUGUGUGUUGUAGUUGUUUAAGUAAUUUCUGAGUAGUGUUCUUCGGAUUUGUUAAAUUAGGGUUUCUGGAUUUGGAGAAAUUGUGUUAUUCGUUGUUUAGUCUAUGAUUUGGCUUAUUAGAAGUAGGAUUAAUCAAUAUUUUUUAUUGUAAGGCAUGAUUGAAACAAACUAUGCUAAAUUAAAACUCUGUUGGAUCGUAAUACUCUCUUUUUGAUUUGUGGAUGAUUGUUUGGAUUAAGACUUUGUUGGAUCUUUAUUUUAAUACUGAUGUUGAUUAGUUUAGUUGCAAUUUCCAUGAUUGUUAGGUGUAUUUGAGAUUUGUAUUUUCAAUUAUUAAUCUGAUUUGUUUUUUAUCCUUGAAUUUGAUUUAUUUUUUCUGUUUAUUGUGAGGAACCUCCUUAAUUGGACAUAAAGAGGAGAGAAUCUGAGAUGAGUGGAGACCUGCUGGUGUGAGACUUGAGUGUUAGCUGCUGCAUAUGGGACAGUUUAAUUACCAGACGUAAGGGU